UAGGGAAUCUUCCGCAAUGGGCGAAAGCCUGACGGAGCAACGCCGCGUGAGUUAUUAAGGUCUUCGGAUCGUAAAACUCUGUUAUUAGGGAAGAACAAAUGUGUAAGUAACUAUGCACGUCUUGACGGUACCUAAUCAGAAAGCCACGGCUAACUACGUGCCAGCAGCCGCGGUAAUACGUAGGUGGCAAGCGUUAUCCGGCAUUAUUGGGCGUAAAGCGCGCGUAGGCGGUUUUUUAAGUCUGAUGUGAAAGCCCACGGCUCAACCGUGGAGGGUCAUUGGAAACUGGAAAACUUGAGUGCAGAAGAGGAAAGUGGAAUUCCAUGUGUAGCGGUGAAAUGCGCAGAGAUAUGGAGGAACACCAGUGGCGAAGGCGACUUUCUGGUCUGUAACUGACGCUGAUGUGCGAAAGCGGGGGGAUCAAACAGG
rnacentral:rRNA from 1 species